UGUCAACUGUUUCUUCUAGAACCUUCCAACAUCCUCCCCCAAUUGGCUCCUGCAACACUGCUAAGAGUUCCAUUUGGCUUAUUUCAAAAGAAUUUAGGGUGUGGCUCAAUUAUUCUUCAACUUGCCGGUAAUAGAAAACGACUUUCAUUCAGCUGCAGCUGAACCAAUAAGGUUGCCCUAGAUGCAGCUGUUUCUGAUGUGAUACUGGUGGAUACGGCACUGGAGACCCAACAGGACCUCACUGUGGCUGUGAACCCUAGUCCAGGUCAGCCAUUUCCCCCGACUCUCAAAAAGAAACCAUGAAGAAAACACAGGUGGCAUCCAAAGCACCCAGAACACCCAAAGCACCUGCUGCACCCGCUGCACCCGCUGCACCCACUUCACCCACUUCACCCAGGAAACCCAGUGCACCAAGUAAACCCAGUAAACCAAGUAAACCAAGUGCACCCAAUGAACCCAGUGAACCCAGUGAACCCAGUGAACUCAGUGCACCCAUUGCACCCAUUGCAGC